rnacentral:lncRNA from 1 species
AAGGCUCGGUCCUAGCUACGGGUUCGUCUACGGUACCAGAACUUUGGAGAACUGGGGCUGACAAACUCCUAGAACUGCUAGAAGAGGAGAUAUCAGAAGAUAUUUUGGAUCAAAUGGAAGCCACAAAAUCCUGAAAAAAUUAGAAAAAAUAGCAAACAGGCCCUCAAGGAAGCUAAAUGGACAGAAUACGAAGAAAAAAGGACAGAAAAAUGAUAAGGAGUUUCGAAACUAACCUAGAUCGGUCCCAGG